rnacentral:lncRNA from 1 species
CUUAGGCAUGCUAGGCAAGUGCUCUACCACUGAGCCACAACCCCAGCCCCUCCUAAGUCAUCUUUUAUUAGAAAAUGGAUAGUUUGACUUUGGACUCUUUGGGGACAGUUCAGGCCCAGGUCCUUGGACAUAGGGAUACUGAAAGGAUAGCAGUGCCAGUUACAGUUGGCCCUUUGUAUCUACAGGUCCCACAUUUGUGGCUUCAAUCAAACAUAUAUUCAGGGGGAAAAUGGAAUAUAAUGGCACACCUUAUAAUGUCAGCUACUCACAAGGCUGAGACAAGAGGAUGGUAAGUUCAAGGCCAGCCUGGGAAUCUUGGCAAGACCCUGUCUCAAAAAUAUAAAAAGGGCUGGGCAAGUAGCUCAGUGGUAGAACACCCCUGGGUUCAGUCCCCAUUAUUGAAAAGAAAACAUGUCGGUCCUGAACAAGUACAGACUUUUCUUGUCAUUAUUCCCUAAACAAUAUUUGGUAUUUUAAAUAAUUAGAGAUUAUUUAAAGCAUAUGGGAAGAUGUACAUAGGUUAUAUACAAAUGCUACACCAUUUUAUAUAAGGGACUGGAGCAUUUGUGUAUUUUGGUAUCCAAGGAGAGUCCUGGAACCUAUACCCUAUAGAUUUCAAGGGAAGACUAUUCUUUUUGUCUCUAGUAGUAGGGCCAGAGUGAGGAGGGGAUUUGAAAAAGUGGGACUUUGAAAGAAAUUUAUGGUAUAAAGACUCAAAUUGAAGGUUUUUCUCUCAGAAGGACAAGAGGGAGAAGAUGGCCAAAGCACAUUACACCCUCCAUUGUAGCAUCUCUUUGGAGGAAGGAUGCACUCUGUAAAGUCUACAAGUCCGUUCUCAGUCUCAGCUUGUUCCUGCCAGCUCAGCCCUAAUUCUCAACUGAGCAGGAGAAAUGCACUCAAGGAAUACCCUUGCCUUUCCUCCAAGGAGGCUUCCAGGCUGGAGAACCUUCUUGGUCUCCACUUGUUCAUUCAUUCUGACCUUAAUGCAUACUGUGAUUUCCCUGAGUUUACUCCACACUGGUCUCCUCCCUGCCAGGGAUAUUCCCACCUUAGGGCACUUUACCACUCAGCUAUAUCCCCAUCCCGUUUUAAUAUUGAAAUAGCAUCUUGCUAAGUGCUUAAGGCCUCGCUAAAUUGCUGAGGCUGGCUUCAAACUAGUGAUCCUCCUGCCUCAGCUUCCUCAGUAGCUGGGAUUAGAGGUGUGAAUCACCAUACCUGGCUUCCCUUGGGUAUUUGCAUGAGCUCCUCCCUCAAUUCCUUCAGGUCUUGAUGUUCUUUAAGAAAAUGCCCUUUUUAUAUUGAUUGUAUUGGUUACAUACAUGUCAAAACUGAUCAAAUUUUAUAUUUCAAAUAUGUACAUUUUAUUGUACUUCAAUUUUACCUCAAAAAAGCUAUGGAAAAAAAAGAGAGAAAAUAUCAUUUUCUCAGGGACUUUGCUGACCAUUGUAUCUAAAUUUCAUCACCACUCCAUACUUCCUGUCCCCUUCCUUAGUUUAGAUUCCUCAUAAAUCCUUAUAUAUUUUUUCAUCAUUUUAUUUAAUAGCUUGUAUUCUCAGUGUAAUGAAAGCUCAAAGUUCAGUAAGGACAGGGAUUUGGGGGGUCACCCAUGCAUCCCAGAGCCUAGUAGAGUUCCUGGCAAUGUAGUAGAUGCUCAAUAAAUAUUAGUUGAUGCUUUUUUGUAGUGUUAGGGAUGGAACCCACUGCCUCGUGCAUUCUAGGCAAGUGCUGUACUACUGAGGUACACUCC